rnacentral:rRNA from 1 species
AUUGAACGCUGGCGGCAGGCCUAACACAUGCAAGUCGAACGAGUGGCGGACGGGUGAGUAAUGUCUGGGAAACUGCCCGAUGGAGGGGGAUAACUACUGGAAACGGUAGCUAAUACCGCAUACCAUCGGAUGUGCCCCGAUGGGAUGAGCUAGUAGGUGGGGUAACGGCUCACCUAGGCGACGAUCCCUAUCUGGUCUGAGAGGAUGACAGCGCACACUGGCACAGAGACACAGUCCAGACUCCUACGGGAGGAAGCAGUGGGGGAUAUUGCCAGAUGGACGCAAGCCUGAUGCAGACAUGCCGCGUGUAUGAAGAAGGCCGUCGGGUUGUAAAGCACUUUCAGCGAGGAGGCGUUACUCGCAGAAGAAGCACCGGCUAACUCCGUGCCAGCAGCCGCGGUAAUAC